GUAACUGCAGCAUAUUUCUUCUUUUAGAUUAUGAAAUUAUUCAACGGGAUGUUUUUCUCACCUUUCUGCCGAUUGAAAAUACAUCAUCGUAUUCUAAAAUCAGCGAGACCUUUCGCAUAAAAUCGACAAUGCGUCGCCCCCAAACAUCCAUAC